rnacentral:rRNA from 1 species
UCUGNUCUGUCACUGACGCUGAGGCUNGAAAGCGUGGGUAGCGAACAGGAUUAGAUACCCUGGUAGUCCACGCCGUAAACGAUGAGUGCUAGGUGUUAGGCCCUUUCCGGGGCUUAGUGCCGGAGCUAACGCAAUAAGCACUCCGCCUGGGGAGUACGACCGCAAGGUUGAAACUCAAAGGAAUUGACGGGGGCCCGCACAAGCGGUGGAGCAUGUGGUUUAAUUCGAAGCAACGCGAAGAACCUUACCAGGUCUUGACAUCCCGAUGCUAUUCUUAGAGAUAGGAAGUUACUUCGGUACAUCGGAGACAGGUGGUGCAUGGUUGUCGUCAGCUCGUGUCGUGAGAUGUUGGGUUAAGUCCCGCAACGAGCGCAACCCUUAUUGUUAGUUGCCAUCAUUAAGUUGGGCACUCUAGCGAGACUGCCGGUAAUAAACCGGAGGAAGGUGGGGAUGACGUCAAAUCAUCAUGCCCCUUAUGACCUGGGCUACACACGUGCUACAAUGGUCGGUACAACGAGUUGCGAGCCGGUGACGGCAAGCUAAUCUCUGAAAGCCGAUCUCAGUUCGGAUUGGAGGCUGCAACUCGCCUCCAUGAAGUCGGAAUCGCUAGUAAUCGCGGAUCAGCACGCCGCGGUGAAUACGUUCCCGGGCCUUGUACACACCGCCCGUCACACCACGAGAGUUUGUANCACCCGAAGUCGGUGAGGUANCCUUUUAGGG